rfam:Triticum aestivum genome assembly, contig: Triticum_aestivum_CS42_TGACv1_scaffold_409651_5BL
AAAACUAGUCAGUUCCAUAGGUAUGAAACCCAUUUGAGCGGGAGUAGUACUAGGAUGGGUGACCUCCUGGGAAGUCCUCGUGAAAAGGUUUC